CUCCCCCGAAGUUUUGUAGUUAGCCUAGGAUGCAGGUCUGAACUCAUCUGGCUCGUUAGGCUUCCCUAGGGGACAUACACAGCUUUACUGCCCAGUAAUGGUUUUUGAUGAACCAACCUGUAACAAACAAACAAAUCCUAGCAACAAGACCCAGUGACCUCACCCUUCAGCAUCCCUGCCAGCUGCUGUAGUCUGAAGCACCUUAAAUUUCUUCCCCGGGCCUCAGUCAUAUUGUUUGCUUCAGUCCUAGCACGUUCAGUGACUCCAUAGCUGGUGUCGCUGUGGGAAUGGGACAGGAAAGUGCAGGCCACAGAUCCUCCCUGUGCAGACUGGCAAAAUAUACUUGCAGGGUAGAUACUUGAAGCAUUUUUUCACAUCAUCUUACAUGAUGAACAUUUUUGCUUGCUU